CCUACGGGUGGCAGCAGUGGGGAAUAUUGCAUAAUGGGGGAAACCCUGAUGCAGCGACGCCGCGUGAGGGAAGACGUAUCUCGGGACGUAAAGCUCCAUCAGCAGGGGAGAAAAUGACGGUACCUGACUACGACGCCCCGGCUACCUACGGGCCAGCAGCCGCGGUAAUACGGAGGGGGCAAGCGUUAUCCGGAUUUACUGGGUGUAAAGGGAGCGUAGACGGCAGCACAAGUCUGGAGUGAAAUCCCGGGGCUUAACCCCGGAACUGCUGUGGAAACUGUGGGGCUGGAGUGCAGGAGGGGUAAGCGGAAUUCGUGGUGUAGCGGUGAAAUGCGUAGAUAUUAGGAAGAACACCGGUGGCGAAGGCAGCUUACUGGAGUGUAACUGACGUUGAGGCUCGAAAGCGUGGGGAGCAAACAGGAUUAGAUACCCCAGUAGUC
rnacentral:rRNA from 1 species